AUUUGUUCUUCCCUGAGAAAAGGGGUUUACAACCCAAGAGCCUUCCUCCCCCACGCGGUCUUGCUCCGUCAGGCUUGCGCCCAUUGCGGAAAAUUCCCCACUGCUGCCUCCCGUAGGAAGCCGAAUUCCAGCACACUGGCGGCCGUUACUAGUGGAUCCGAGCUCGGUACCAAGCUUGGCGUAAUCAUGGUCAUAGCUGUUUCCUGUG
rnacentral:rRNA from 1 species